UUUCCUUCUCGACCCACUUGUUUGUAUACAACCACGCCCGGCAGGAUGACCACCAGAUGACCGGCCGCAGCAAUGCCUCCACUCAGUCCCAGUUGGGCAAAGUUUCACUCCACUGCGGCGACGUGAACAAGAAUCACGGCUUCCUUAUCGUACCUGCCACAACACAUGGGAAUUAUGGGAGUACAAUUUAAGAUGAGAUAUGGAUGAGAACACAGAGCCAAACCAUAUCAACUCUAUCUUCAUGUUUGUUUACAUUUCUCUCAACUGUAUGUUUUGUGACCCAGAAUGUGAUCCUGGUAAACAUUCCAUUUGAGAAGAAUGUGUAUUCUGCUGUUGUUGGAAGCUGCGUUGUCAUUGAUGAAGGAAUAUUUCGAAGCGCUGAACAAUUCUUGAUAAAGUUCCGAAACAAACAAAGCACAAUCUUCCCUCGAUUUACAUGGGAGUUGCAUUCCUGGAAAAUUCAGUAUAUUUUAAAACCAUGCAAAAUAUCCUUUUAAAAAAAUAUGUAACAUGGAGUUUAGGACCAAGGCUCAGAAUAUUUCCAAUCCAUGGUUGGGUGCGGAACCUGCGGAUACAGAGGACUGACUAUAAUAUCAAGAGAUCAUAAGGCUGUCGGAAUGGACUCUUUGUGGCAAUAAGAUACCAUAUUAUAAACAGGACCCAAGGUCAUGCCAGGAGGCUCGUGUGGUCCCUGUUUGUCAUCCAGUCAAUACGGCCAUCAGCUUCUGGCCCCAGACACCUUUCCUCUGCACUGUGGCACAGAGGAGCAGACUGCUUUGGAGGGCAGCUUCCUGGGAGCUCCAGGGACCCUGGCCAGGCGGCCACUGCCACUGACUUCCUCGGCUCACUGAGCCCGUGCCUGCAGCUCUCGUGUUUCCUCUGUGCUGCAGUGGACGCUUAUCUUCCCCCGAUGGCACAUUUCUUUGUCACAGACAGGACCCUCACUGGCAGUCGGAGGACAUCAAGCCCUAGUACAGGAAGGGACAUUUUCACACUAAUCUGUGCCAGCUGGAGCAGUCCUGCCAUCUGAACAUCAUAUUUUGGAACCCUGAGAAGCUAGGAUGCAGUUAACAGCUAGAUGUCAAUUCCCUGCAGGCAGAGACCAGUUCUCUGCUGCCAUGUCUUUAAGGCCUGAUGCACCAUAGAUUAAUUCAAAUCCAGUGUCUACCACUCACUCGGCUUAAUGUAAGACAAGAUGAAGACUCCAGACUUCAGAACUUCAGUGUCCGCAGAUGAGGAUUUUAAAUGCUUCGCCUACAACCUCAAUUGUUGUGGAGCCAAAGAUGCAACAGCUUUGAAGAAUAGAAGAAUUACUCUAUAUUUGUCAGGAUCUACGUGGCAAACAAGCGCCACUUGGCUUACAUUACUUGCCUGGCUUGGAUCCCAUGGAAUGGAGGAGCAUUGGAACCAAGAGGAAAAAAAUUAAAGUGCUUUGGGACAGCGAGCCAAACUCUUACAUAGUAUUUGAAAUGGUGUGGCAAACAUGAAAUUAUUUUAGGCUCAAGAUUGGUGCUAGUUUUUUACCCUCUUUUUGAAAAAAUAGUAAAAUGCACAUAAAGGGCCCUGCCAGAGGUUUAGCUCAUAAAAUCUGCCAAUCAUUGGAUGUGCUAAUUGGUGUAGCAAUCCAGUGGUGGCCUGGAUUAGGACUCAAAAACUGACCCUUACCACCCUUGGUGUCCUGCAGCAAAGACAGCCUAAAUCGAAAAGACUGAUGGAAGUAUAUCAAAUUACGAAUUUCUCUAUCCCUGAAAAAUGCCUGCAAUUUCUGUUUCUCCAUCACUCCAGAAAUACUCAAAACAGCAAAAAUUAAAUACAUAUGAAGUGAACACAAAAGACCUCCACAGAAAAAUCAGUGGCUCAUCUGUUGACGCUAUUGCUCAUUGCUCGGCUGGCCAGUCAUCUGGGCUAAGUUUUGACUUUGGGCCAGUGCUUCAAAAUCAGCAACCUUUCAGCCAAAAGACUGUGGAAUGCAGCCAAGACCACCUGUGGAAAGUGAAUUAUAGCAUCUUUAAUUUACUACCUUGGGCUAUGAUGUCAGAAACCCAGCAUGGAGGGCGCACCAGUUCUUGUGUGGGAAAUCUCUCAGAGCCCCCAUGGAGGCCCCCAAAGUGGCUCUGGCAAAGCUGUAGGGGUGGAGGUAACAAAAAAGGGGACACCUGGCUCUCCUUCUUAAAUCAGCUCACCAUGGGCACACAUUUAUAUUGGAAUUUUAGGGUCAGAAAAUACCAAAAUUAAAUCUUCUAGAAG
rnacentral:lncRNA from 1 species